CCCUUAGAUGUUCUGGGCUGCACGCGCGCUACACUGACGCACCCAACGGGUUUACGACCUUGCCUGGAAAGGUUGGGUAAUCCUACAAAAAUGCGUCGUGGUGGGGACAGAUUACUGCAAUAACUAAUCUUCAACAAGGAAUUCCUAGUAAGCGCGAGUCAUCAGCUCGUGCUGAUUACCUCCCUGCCCUUUGUACACACCGCCCGUCGCUCCUACCGAUUAAGUGAUCCGGUGAAUAGUUCGGACUGCUGCAAUGCUUGGAUCCCGAGAAUUGCGGCGAAAGUUUAGUGAACCUUAUCACUUAGAGGAAGGAGAAGUCGUAACA
rnacentral:rRNA from 1 species